rnacentral:sRNA from 1 species
CAUCAGCGACAGAUCUUUCUGUAGCAGAGCUUUAGGAGACCUUGCAGCCCAUCAACGGGUUGGCAGCACGACGGUAAAUAAAGCUUGCCUUUGCAAGUUAGCACUCAGCUAGCAACACGAUCGAAUUGUCGGGGACCUCCUAAAGCCUACAACACCAACCUAUAGGGGAAACCCUCUAGGGGCCUAUGCUAAUAACAUAGGGUGGUAAUAGUAUGUAGGAUGAUGCUAAGGCUUGCCUAGCAGAAGUGGACAACCCGCAGCGAAGACCCUACCGGCGUAAGCCUACGGGGAACGUUCACAGACUAAGUGGUUGUGGGUAGACUUUUCAAUAUUUCUAUCUAAGAUAUAGUCGGGCCCUAUAGGAAACUAUAGGGGGUUUCUGCUGAAACAACUAGUCCGUAGGUGAACCUGCGGAAGGAUCAUUACAGAGUUCAUGCCUUCACGGGUAGAUCUCCCACCCUUGUAUAUCUAUCUUAGUUGCUUUAGCGGGUCACAGGCUGUAGCCUGUUCUAGCUUUUGCUAGGAGUGCCCGCUAGAGUCCUCUAAACUCUGAAUGUUAGUGUUGUCCGAGUAUUAUAUAAUAGUUAAAACUUUCAACAACGGAUCUCUUGGUUCUGGCAUCGAUGAAGAACGCAGCGAAAUGCGAUAAGUAAUGUGAAUUGCAGAAUUCAGUGAAUCAUCGAAUCUUUGAACGCACAUUGCGCCCCUUGGUAUUCCGAGGGGCAUGCCUGUUCGAGCGUCAUAAUAGCCAAUCUAGCUCAGCUAGGUCUUGGGCUUCGCCGUCUGGCGGGCUUUAAAACCAGUGGCGGUGCUGCCAGGCUCUAAGCGUAGUAAAUCUCUCGCUAUAGGGUCCUGGUGGACGCUAGCCAGCAACCCCUAAAUAUUUCAGGUGACCUCGGAUCAGG